rnacentral:lncRNA from 1 species
ACUUCCCGUCCCCUGGCGGGCGCCGGCGCUUCAGGCGGGUCUCCCCGCCGGCCGGUGCGCUGCUGCCGCGGAGUCUUCCUUGCCCGGCUGCACGGAGCGCUCGGCCGCUGCGCCCGGGCGCGGACUGGAGGGGCUGCUGCCACGUCUCCCGCGCGGCACCUUCCCGGAGCCGGGUGCGCCGCCCCGGGGCAGGAAGCGGGGCUCCGGGAGGGCUGCGACCCUCCUGGCUGCCGCGAAGGGUUUCCGACGCUGCGCGGCCGGCGGCGGCCGGGGGUGACUGGCAGUCUCUGCAGUAAUUAUCCUUCAACUUGAAAUUAUUUUCCCACAUGAAAUUAUUCGGAAGGGACAUGUUCCAUUCCAGAUGGGUUCGUGCCUGCUUCUCCACAUCGCUUUUCCCACCUCUUCGUGGAUAGGACACCGGAUCCACUACUUAAUCAAAAAGUUUAACUAGAUGGCAUUGAUUUUGUCGAAUUUGUUACCAUACCAAAAAAGAGAGAGAAGGCAGAGAGCUCAAUGAUUAUGAAACAAAGAAAUAGGAUGUAUGCCCAUUAUUAAACGUGUCGGGACUAGAAUGUUUUACUCAUUCUUUGGCCAAAAUGGCACUUGUAUCUGAUUGCAUAGUCUUAAAAAUCCGAGCCUCUUAUUCCAUUUCUCUUCCCGGUACAAAAUGAAUGUUAAACCUGAAGAAAAAAAACUUUUUUUUACUAAUUUUUAUUUUAGGAAAUAGAUCUACAAACAUGGAUUAAGCCUCUUCUAUCUGCAAAAUACGGAGCAAUUAUAAUGUGUUUAAACCAUCAAUUGUAAACUUUAAGAUAAUUUUAUUAGGUUAAAGAUUGCACUUAUUUUAAAAUCAGGAAAGGAACUCAUAUCAACCAAAGAUUGCCCUAUGGCAGGUACAGACUGACUGGUUAUUACUGGACUCCAAAAUAAACUGAGAAAAUAGCAAAACUAUGUAAAAUGUACUAAUCUCACUCACUGAUGGUUACACUACCUGUAGUGCUAAGCCUGUAAUCACAAUAUUGUUAUUUGGACAAAAGAUUAAUCAAAACUAUCUCAUUAAGUAACUACUGCAACUAUUCAAUAAGUUUGAUUAUCCUAGACUUAAUCACUAAGACAUUGAUUUUCUGAUUUUAGUAAUAAUUCUAUAAAUAUAUCACAUUAUAUUGUGGUUUGUUAAAUGCACUGCUUUUAGCUUGCUUUCAUCAUGUAUUUGAGUUUUGUUCUAAAAGAAAUAAAUGUUUUAAUGUUUAAGGAGCUUACAGAUCAUCAAAAAGAACAUAGAAGACAGUACAGAAAGAAUUCUGGCAUUUAAAAAGUUGAAACCACUAAAAUCAACUUCCAUCUGUUUUAAACCCGGUAUCACAAACCAAGAAUCACAACUCUGAGUGUGCCACAGCUCGAUAUCAGAUGUGCAUCUAUUUCAAGGCAAU